rnacentral:rRNA from 1 species
AUUGAACGCUGGCGGCAGGCCUAACACAUGCAAGUCGAGCGGCAGCGGGAAGUAGCUUGCUACUUUGCCGGCGAGCGGCGGACGGGUGAGUAAUGUCUGGGAAACUGCCCGAUGGAGGGGGAUAACUACUGGAAACGGUAGCUAAUACCGCAUAACGUCGCAAGCCCAAAGAGGGGGACCUUCGGGCCUCUUGCCAUCGGAUGUGCCCAGAUGGGAUUAGAUAGUAGGUGGGGUAACGGCUCACCUAGGCGACGAUCCCUAGCUGGUCGGAGAGGAUGACCAGCCACACUGGAACUGAGACACGGUCCAGACUCCUACGGGAGGCAGCAGUGGGGAAUAUUGCACAAUGGGCGCAAGCCUGAUGCAGCCAUGCCGCGUGUAUGAAGAAGGCCUUCGGGUUGUAAAGUACUUUCAGCGGGGAGGAAGGUGUUGAGGUUAAUAACCUCAGCAAUUGACGUUACCCGCAGAAGAAGCACCGGCUAACUCCGUGCCAGCAGCCGCCGUAA